UACGUAGGGGCAAGCGUUGUCCGGAUUAUUGGGCGUAAAGAGCGUGUAGGCGGCCAGGUAGGUCUGGUGUGAAAACUCGAGGCUUAACCUCGAGAUGUCAUCGGAAACCAUCUGGCUAGAGUCCGGAAGAGGAGAGUGGAAUUCCUGGUGUAGCGGUGAAAUGCGCAGAUAUCAGGAAGAACACCAAUGGCGAAAGCAGCUCUCUGGGACGGUACUGACGCUGAGACGCGAAAGCGUGGGGAGCGAACAGG
rnacentral:rRNA from 1 species